rnacentral:rRNA from 1 species
AGUGAACGCUGGCGGUAGGCCUAACACAUGCAAGUCGAACGGCAGCACAGUAAGAGCUUGCUCUUACGGGUGUCGAGUGGCGGACGGUUGAGUAAUACAUCGGAAUCUACUUUUUCGUGGGGGCUAACGUAGGGAAACUUACGCUAAUACCGCAUACGACCUACUGGUGAAAGCAGGGGAUCUUCGGACCUUGCGCGAUUGAAUGAGCCGAUGUCGGAUUAGCUAGUUGGCGGGGUAAAGGCCCACCAAGGCGACGAUCCGUAUCUGGUCUGAGAGGAUGAUCAGACACACGGGAAGUGAGACACGGUCCAGACUCCUACGGGAGGCAGCAGUGGGGAAUAUUGGACAAUGGGCGAAAGCCUGAUACAGCCAUACCGCGUGGGUGAAGAAGGACUUAGGGUUGUAAAGCCCUUUUGUUGGGAAAGAAAAGAAGCAGGUUAAUACCCCGCUGUUCUGACGGUACCGAAAGAAUAAGCACCGGCUAACUUCGUG